CAGAUUCUCGAACUUUCCGAUUUCAAUUCUCUUCCUCUCUCUCUCUCUCUCUCUCUCUCUCUCUCUCUCUCUCGUAGAAACUUAGUUUCUCUCACUUUCUCUCUCGAGCGAGAAGAAAACUCAUUUCUAUGGGAAAAUCACAAUCCGAGGAUUUAAAAGAUUCUUAUCGUCAAUUUCAUCUAGAUUCAGGAACCAUUGGAGGGCCAUCAUCUGCUCUUGUCCGGGUACCAAUAGAGGCAGUUGAAGUUUUAAUUACAGCUCUUUUAAUCAAGAGAUUUGCCAUUUGAUGUUAUGCAAUUUUGCAUCUAUGAACAGAUUCGAAUAGGUUACAAGCUCUCCUAACAAAUACUUGUACACCAAAGUCUAUUUUAAGAAGAUGAUAUUCAGAAGGUUCCUCAUGUGGUGCCAGAUUCACAGAAGUUGUGGAGGCACUUUACAAUACGAACAAAAGAUUUUUCAACAAGGAAGAUCUAUCACUCGUUGAGCUUCCUGGUAUGGCAUCGAUGAAGUCGAGCUUGAGAAACGUAGAAGAUGAACAAGCACUGCUCACACUCAGGUAUAUCGUAAAAAUUCAUCUGAUUGAUACAUUUAAUUAGAAAUACUCAAGGUGAUAUAGUCACUAUUUCAAUUUUUGUAGCUAAACUUGAGCAAAUAAAUAGAGAUUUUCAGAUAUUCUGAGUUAUUUUCAUUUUGGGUACUUACUCGUGAGUUUCUCUAAGUUGAAGAUAAUGAUGAUUUGACUAUGGACGAACUUAAAGAAAGCUGCCUGGUAUUGAGCUUUUCGUUUGAACAAUUUCUGCCUUCAAGUUCAGUUAUGAUUAAGAAAAGUCUGUUACUUUUUUAUAUGCUCAUUUAGGCAGGUGUCAUGAAGAAAGCUGUCUAAGCUGGAAAAUCUAGAUUUGCGAACGGUAUGCGCCAGGAGCUAAUGAGGGUCCCUAAUGAUCCUUACCAGGCAGGCAAAUCCAGCUCAUAUGCCGCACGAGAUAAUGAUGAUUUCAUAUAUCAUCCGAGUCAGAUUGACAGAUGCUCCUCAUAUAGCAACAAGAUGAUGAACUGGAUGACUUAAGUGCAAGUGUGCAAAGAAUUGGAGGUGUGGGGCUUACCAAACACGAAAAACUUACAGGACGGGAAGCAACGCCCGGAUUCUGAAAAGUUGGAUGCAAUGCAAAGAAACUUGUUACUCCUAGUUUGUGUGAACUUUGCCCAUCUCCUUCCGAUGUAAAGGAACCGACUCUUGGUACUCCUGGUUUGAGUAAUUAAACUUCGCCCAUCUUGUUCUGAUUUUACAGGAUCUGUAUUUUAGUACCCCUUGAUUUGAGUUAAACAAGUAGAAAUGUGUAAUUUUUCUAUUUGUUUCUGGUUUAGAAAUGAAUUUGAUUCAGUGAGCAAUGAAAUCUGUAGUUUUUCUAUUA